GACGUAGGAGGCGAGCGUUGUCCGGAUUCAUUGGGCGUAAAGAGCACGCAGGCGGUUUGGCAAGUCGGAUGUGAAAACCCGAAGCUCAACUUCGGGCCUGCAUCCGAAACUGCCCGACUAGAGGUAGGUAGGGGAGAUCGGAAUUCCUGGUGUAGCGGUGAAGUGCGCAGAUAUCAGGAGGAACACCGGUGGCGAAGGCGGAUCUCUGGGCCUUACCUGACGCUCAGGUGCGAAAGCUAGGGGAGCGAACAGG
rnacentral:rRNA from 1 species